rnacentral:tRNA from 2 species
GGAGGGUUCGCAUAAUGGUAUUGCACUGGUUUCGAAAACCAGCGGGAGCAAUCCCUUGCAGGUUCAAGUCCUGCACCCUCCGCCA